AGAAUUUGAUCUUGGUUCAGGAUGAACGCUGGCGGCGUGCUUAACACAUGCAAGUCGAACGGAGUUUUAACGGAAGUUUCGGAUGGAAGUUUAAAACUUAGUGGCGGACGGGUGAGUAACGCGUGGGUAACCUGCCUCAUACAGGGGGAUAACAGUUAGAAAUGACUGCUAACACCGCAUAAUAUAGCGAAACCGCAUGAUUUUGCUAUCAAAUAUUUAUAGGUAUGAGAUGGGCCCGCGUCUGAUUAGCUAGUUGGUGGGGUAAAGCCUACCAAGGCGACGAUCAGUAGCCGGCUUGAGAGAGUGACCGGCCACAUUGGGACUGAGACACGGCCCAAACUCCUACGGGAGGCAGCAGUGGGGAAUAUUGGACAAUGGGGGAAACCCUGAUCCAGCGAACCGCCGCGUGAGUGAAGAAGUAUUUCGGUAUGUAAAGCUCUAUCAGCAGGGAAGAUAAUGACAGUACCUGACUAAGAAGCCCCGGCUAACUACGUGCCAGCCGCAGC
rnacentral:rRNA from 1 species